rnacentral:rRNA from 1 species
UACGUAGGUGGCAAGCGUUGUCCGGAAUUAUUGGGCGUAAAGCGCGCGCAGGCGGUCCUUUAAGUCUGAUGUGAAAGCCCACGGCUCAACCGUGGAGGGUCAUUGGAAACUGGGGGACUUGAGUACAGGAGAGAAAAGUGGAAUUCCACGUGUAGCGGUGAAAUGCGUAGAGAUGUGGAGGAACACCAGUGGCGAAGGCGGGUCUCUGGACAGUUCCUGACGCUGAGGCGCGAAAGCGUGGGGAGCAAACAGG